rnacentral:lncRNA from 1 species
GCUGGGAGUUGGGUAACUCUUGUGCUAAGCCUUGGGCAGCUCCACAUUUAUCUCGCUCCGCUCUGCGUGCACACACACAUGCACACACACACACACACACACACACACACACUCCACACGUCUGCCUCAGCUUUGCAAUCCAGUGGCGUGAGCUGCAAGAGAAGCAGAAUUUUCCAGUCUCUCUGCGUCUGUGACUUGGUGGGCCACCAGAAGCCUCGUGCUGGACCAGCCCCUGAACUGGUCUGAUAUCUUUCAAGAAGAAGUGACAUUGGAUAGGCUGGACUAUAAAACUGCUGGCAAGAAGAAAACAUUAGUGGUUGCUACCAUAAAAUCCUACAAUGGAAACUUGAAAAGAAAAAAAUGUGCCAGGCCUACCCUCCUCAAGGGGCCUUAAGACACCUUGAGGAGCUGACUCACUGUAGCCCAAACUUCAGUGGGAACUCCAGAUCACAAGAUAUUCAGGAUUGAAAUGGAUGCCAAGUUUACAGAAUACUCAUCUGGACAAAGAUGGUUGCAUAGAUGGUCAUUUGGAAAGAGAUUACUGGAAGACAUUGCUGCUCUGUGAAUCUGGGAUCCCACUUUUCCUGAACAGAACAAUUGAUAGCAACAAAGCUUCCUUCACACUGAAGACCAGCUCCAGGCAGGAAGAAAUGAAGCACUCCAGGUAAUAAAAUAUAUGCAAGAGA